UACAUGGGGUGCAAACGUUGCUCGGAAUUAUUGGGCGUAAAGCGCGCGUAGGCGGUUACUCAAGUCGGAUGUGAAAGCCCUCGGCUUAACUGAGGAAGUGCACCCGAAACUGAGUAGCUAGAGUACUAAAGAGGGUCGCGGAAUUCCCGGUGUAGAGGUGAAAUUUGUAGAUAUCGGGAGGAACACCGGUGGCGAAGGCGGCGACCUGGGUAGAUACUGACGCUGAGGCGCGAAAGCGUGGGGAGCAAACAGG
rnacentral:rRNA from 1 species